rnacentral:rRNA from 1 species
AUUGAACGCUGGCGGCAGGCCUAACACAUGCAAGUCGGACGGUAGCACAGAGGAGCUUGCUCCUCGGGUGACGAGUGGCGGACGGGUGAGUAAUGUCUGGGGAUCUGCCCGAUAGAGGGGGAUAACCACUGGAAACGGUGGCUAAUACCGCAUAACGUCGCAAGACCAAAGAGGGGGACCUUCGGGCCUCUCACUAUCGGAUGAACCCAGAUGGGAUUAGCUAGUAGGCGGGGUAACGGCCCACCUAGGCGACGAUCCCUAGCUGGUCUGAGAGGAUGACCAGCCACACUGGAACUGAGACACGGUCCAGACUCCUACGGGAGGCAGCAGUGGGGAAUAUUGCACAAUGGGCGCAAGCCUGAUGCAGCCAUGCCGCGUGUAUGAAGAAGGCCCUCGGGUUGUAAAGUACUUUCAGCGGGGAGGAAGGUGAUGUGGUUAAUAACCGCGUCGAUUGACGUUACCCGCAGAAGAAGCACCGGCUAACUCCGUGCCAGCCGCCGCCGUAA